rnacentral:rRNA from 1 species
UACGUAGGGGGGCUAGCGUUGUCCGGAUUUAUUGGGCGUAAAGAGCGUGUAGGCGGCCAGGUAGGUCUGCUGUGAAAACUCGAGGCUCAACCUCGAGACGUCGGCGGAAACCAUCUGGCUAGAGUCCGGAAGAGGAGAGUGGAAUUCCCAGUGUAGCGGUGAAAUGCGUAGAUAUUGGGAGGAACACCAGUGGCGAAGGCGGCUCACUGGACCGGUACUGACGCUGAUGCGCGAAAGCGUGGGGAGCAAACGGG